AGAAAACAGAAACAGGUAAUGCUCUGAAUAUUAACCGGCUUUCCAGUUCCUUCAUCAAUACCUGCAUUGUAUCAUACAGACUUUCCUUCUUAUUGCCAAGUGGGGGGUUAUUAUUAUAAACACUUUAUAAUAAUAGAUCAAUUUAUUCAUCCAAUAUGCAUAGUUAUUUAUUUGGGUUCUCUAUAGCUUUUCAUCUUUGCCUUGCUUUUAAGAUUCCACCACCACAACCGGGGCUUGGUGAUUUAUGCAAUUUAUAAUGUAUGAAGUAGUAAGUUAAAUAUCUGUUUGUUUGAGGCAGGGUCUCAAUAUAUAUGGCAUGAAACUCACAGACACCCACCCACCUGCCUCUGCUUCCUAAGUGCUAGGAUUAAAGGCUGGUGCCACAAUGUGCAGCCUGCAUGCUAAGUCUCUUUAACACUAGAACUCCUGUGUUCUUACUCUUGUGGCUUCUUUAACUUGUUUUUGGAGGACAAGUAAGACUCGUCAGUUCCUUUCAUUGUUUUUAAACCACAUGCUUUAUAUAAUGGGUUUAAAAUAUCAGUUGGUGACUGUUAGACUUUUUAAUAACACAAGGGAAGGUAUUGAUGACAGACGUCAAACUACCUGAAAUAUGCCCAGAGAUCAAAGUCCCUCCGCUGGCUCUAAAAUGCCCCCCUGUGGUCUUAGGUCUGCAGGGUCUGCUUUGACUCAAUCCUUCUCAAAGUAGGAGGGCAGUGAUAUCAGCAGGUUCUGGGCUUGUUUCCUUAUUUCUCCUUUGUUUCAGGACCACUGCCAUCUCCCUGCCUUGAUUUCCUCCACAGAAACCCCAUAUUUUCAUACCCAUAACUAAGGAGCUGCAUAAUUAAACACAACCUUUAAGAAAAUGGAAUUUUCAUUAAAGUUCUGCUGGGGAUAUGAACUGCAACAUGACAGAUGCUGCUAGAAGCCCAGAGUAUUAUUAGCAUCAAUAAUAAUUGCUAUAAAAGCAUGCCUCGUUCUCUGUUAAAGAUGUAGAUGUUACAUUUUUUUUCCCCAUUUCACAUAGCUAAAGGGAAACGUGGGUGUGAACACUUCAAAACACUUUCACGUCCUCAAGGGAAAACCCUGAAGUGGAGCGAGUUAGAAUUAAUAUCCAUAUCAGUUCCUAGAGCAAAAUGCCUGACACAGAAUAACGAAGCAAUUUCUCAUCCUCGCCUAGUAACUUGUAGGUGAGAGUUCCCAGAGAGAUCCCUUGGGCUGGAAACAAUGACAAAUUUCUGACUUUGUAUGUUUUUGGUUUUCUUGGUUUUUUGGCUUUUGGUUUUUUGGGUUUUUUUGUUUUGUUUUGUUUUUUGUUUUUUGGGUUUUUUUUUUUGUUUUCUGAGACUUCUUACAUAUGACAAGAGCCCUGCUGCCUAGCAACCUCCUGCACACACAGCAGAACCAAGGAGCCAAAGACAGACAAAAUGGUUUCUGCCAUUCUUGGGUAGGUUUUUUUAUAUUCCACAUUUUGAAAUCCCUAAGUUCUCCACAGAGGGAAGCUCUCCAGCCUAGUAUUUAUUAGUCUUAAUUAAAACACAGCUUGGAUUUUGUUAAUAAAGUAGUUUCCAAGCACCCAACAGAUUAAGGAGCAGGAAACUAUGCAGAGAAUAUGCAGAAAUGCUGACAAGCGUUUAAACACGCGACCUCUGAAAGAGCACACGGAGGAAACCAAUAUAAGAAGCUGAAUCCCUGGCAUAUGGACACAUGUGAUGUGAAAACCCCUGUAACAGUCUACAGGAAGUAGUGCAUACCUUUACUAAACUGUCUUACUCCUACUAACAUAAAGCCAGAUGUUAGCUAAAAUCAUGUCUGUGUGAAUAGAGGAGGUACUCUAGUUCUCUUUGACCUGUCUUACAAUUAUAACCAUUAUUGCUUUUCUGUCACGUGCAUCUGACAUGUGGCAGUUCAGAGCCCCACAUCUGAAUAAGAUACACUACUUCUGGCUGCUGGUAAUUUCUUUUUUUCUGAUGAUCACACAGAUUUCCAUUGUCUGUGCUUCUUAAAUAUGGCAUUGCUUUCUGUAGCAUGAUAUUUCCAGAGUGUCCGGUGGCCUGUGAUCCUUAGCAUCUCUAACACUAAAGACACUUGAUAAAGAACACUGUGUAAUUAUACUCCAGUUAUCUCCCCAUGCAUGCCCCACAUAGGAGCCUCAGCAUGGUGAGAAACUAUCCAGGCGAGAGGAGGAUUUGAUUUUCAAAGGAUUUAAGUCCCUAAUACGCGUUUCUGAGAAUUAUCCCCUGUGAUAAAUUUCCCUUUACCUUGUAGUUACCAAAUUGUCUCUUUUAGUAGAACAGCAUUUCACAGAACAGGUAAGGGUUCCUCCAAAGCAUGCCACAUUGGUCUGCCACGCUCUCUUCCGAUUCAAGAGUUCGGGCUUACAUUUGCCCGUUUUGUUUCCUGUACUGUUUUUAGUCUAUCAGUAAUUGACAGCUGCUCACUCAGGCAAGUUUAUCAUUUCUGAGUCAGUCAGAUUUGCCCUUUCAUGUAGAAAGAUGACCAUCUAGGAUCGGCUACUGCUAGGGAGCUUUUAUUGCAAGUCACUGCCAUACUUGGCAGGUUUUUUUCUUUUAAUCCACCAGCAUACACCGAGGGACACAAGGUUCUAUGAACUCUUUUAACUGACACCAUGUGGUGGCAAGCAGUGGUAACGGCCUUUCUUUCAAAGCAUGCCUGCAGAGAAUCUCAUGGGUGAGAGGCACUGUCCAAUUAUUAGAGAAAUAAAGCAAAAUAAAAGAAUCUUCCACGGGGAGCAUACAUGUUAUCCCUGGGGAGAUAUAUUAAUCUGCAAAGCCUCAAGAAAAUACCAUUCUAGAACAUCUGGACCCUGGAAGAAGGUGUGGACAAUGUCCUUCCCCACAGAUUCUGAUCUUUGGUGAGUAAGGAAAAUGGUCAGCCCAAAUGCGACCUUCCUUUGCUGCCUUGGGAUGCUUUAAACAAACACUUGGCAAGAAUCUGGUUUUGAAAGCACCCCUCCCCAUCCCAGGGGGUAGAGGGGCAAUGAAAACUAAUCAAAUGUCCCAUUUUUCUUUGAGAAGUUGAUUAUAGAAAUCUUCAUAGCUUUGGGCAAACGUCUUCCUUUGCAGAGCUCAGUCUCUGUGACACCACUCUUCAUUCAUUCUGUGAUGCUCAAGACACUGAGAUCUAAGCAACAUGUCUCUCUGAGCAUGUGUGUGCCAUACUUGAAAAUGGUGCCCUAUCACUUAGGACUGGAUUGACAGAUCUAAGAACCAGUUACCGGAUCACAUAGCCAGUGCCAGCCUGUCGCACCCCUCUCAUUAAGGUAGGCCAUUCUGCAGCCCCUGCCAGUCUAAAUAAUUAUGCUUGCUUCAGCCACACGCAGAUAAACUCUAGUUAACUCUGUGAUGAUCUGAGAGUACCACCGUGGGUCCUGGAGUGACUGGGUGUGGAAGAGACCCUGCAGAGUCAUAACUGUCUGGAAAGAAAUAGCAGUGCUCAGAGAGGGGGUCUCCAGGAAACACUGCUAUACGUGGAGGUCCACGCAUAGCUGCUCCUUUGCUGCUAUUUCUGACAAACUGGGUACUAUUAGUACUAUUGUAGAAUGAAGAUAGCAAUAGUGAAAUGCUAAGAAUGACCCUAAGUCUUCUACUGUUCCCAAGACUAACAGUGAGUUUGCUCUUUUCUUUGUAACACCAACUCUGCCAUCUUAUGGAGAGGAGUGGAAACAGCAGAGCAUUUUGCUCCGUGCCUGCUGUUAAAAUGACAGGUUGUAGCAACUUCUACCCAAUUCUAGUUGCUUUUAAACCACCAACAAUUUACCAGCAAAAGUAUUUGUUUAAGAAAAUCUGUAUCUAAUAAUUCUCAGAUUGCUUGCUAACCAAGAUGUCUCUCAAACUUGGCACUAGAAUUCUAUGUAUAAACCUCAAGUGAUAUUUUGUAUUAAUACGAGUUUCUACUAUCACAUAACACUGUGACGUAAUUUCUUUGUAUAUUAGUGUCUUUUUCUAUCAUUUCUUGAGCUACCAGGUGAAGUAAAUGAAAAUACCUGAACUCUGUCAAGAACUGCCCGGUAUAAUAUUGGUAGCCUGUAGGAAAAUGAGUCUUGUUUUUCUUACACAUACAGGUAACAGGACUUGUUUUCACAAUUUUGCUUUUUACAUUUUGUGCUUCUACCUGUAUAUUAUAUUCUACAGUCAUUAGAAUAUGUCAUUUAAUUCAUAUGUCUUUCUCUAAACACUGAUUCUGAAUAAGUUUACAAGUUAUAUGUAAUUAACUAUUAUUUUCAACCAUGAAUAAAAGUGUACAUUGAAAU
rnacentral:lncRNA from 1 species